rnacentral:rRNA from 1 species
AUGGCUCACCAAACCUUUGACCGGUACGGGCCAUGAGAGUGGUAGCCCGGAGAUGGACACUGAGACAAGGGUCCAGGCCCCACGGGGCGCAGCAGGCGCGAAACCUCCUCAAUGCACUAACGUGCGAAGGGGUUACCUCGAGUGCCAUCUGAAGAAGGUGGCUUUUCCUUGGUCUAAAAAGCCUCGGGAAUAAGAGGGGGGCAAGACUGGUGUCAGCCGCCGCGGUAACACCAGCCCCUCGAGUGGUGGGGAUGAUUAUUUGGCCUAAAGCGUCCGUAGCCGGCCGGGUAAGUUUCCCGUUAAAUCCAACGUCUCAAGCGUUGGACUGCGGGAAAUACUGCCUGGCUAGAGAGUGGGAGAGGUCAGCGGUAUUCUGGGGGUAGGGGCGAAAUCCUUUGAUCCCCGGAGGACCACCAGUGGCGAAGGCUGCUGACUAGAACACGUCUGACGGUCAGGGACGAAAGCUGGGGUAGCAAACCGGAUUAGAUACCCGGGUAGUCCCAGCCGUAAACGAUGCAUGCUAGGUGUUGGGUUGGCCACGAGCCACCCCAGUGCCGCAGGGAAGCCGUUAAGCAUGACGCCUGGGAAGUACGAUCGCAAGAUUGAAACUUAAAGGAAUUGGCGGGGGAGCACCACCAGGCGUGAAGCCUGCGGUUUAAUUGGAGUCAACGCCGGGAACCUUACCGGAAGCGACAGCAGAGUGAAGGCCAGAUUGAAGAUCUUGCCAGACGAGCUGAGAGGAGGUGCAUGGCCGUCGCCAGUUCGUGCCGUGAGGUGUUCUCUUAAGUGAGAUAACGAACGAGACCCGCGCCACAUGUUGCCAUCAGAAUCUAAAGGAUUGCUGGGCACUCUUGUGGGACCGCAGCCGAUAAGGCUGAGGAAGGGGCGGGCAACGGCAGGUCAGUAUGCCCCGAAUCUUCCGGGCCACACGCGGGCUGCAAUGGUAUGGACAGAGGGCUGCCACCCCGAGAGGGGGAGCCAAUCCCUAAACCAUACCUCAGUUGGGAUUGAGGGCUGCAACCCGCCCUCAUGAACAUGGAAUGCCUAGUAACUGCCAGUCAUCAUCUGGCGGUGAAUACGUCCCUGCUCCUUGCACACACUGCCCGUCGAACCACCCGAAUGAGGUUUGGGUGAGGAAUGGUCGAAUGUUGGCCGUUUCGAACCUGGGCCUCGUAAGGAGGGUUAAGUCGUAACAAGGUG